rnacentral:rRNA from 1 species
GACGAACGCUGGCGGCGUGCUUAACACAUGCAAGUCGAACGGAAAGGCCCUGCUUUUGUGGGGUGCUCGAGUGGCGAACGGGUGAGUAACACGUGAGUAACCUGCCCUUGACUUUGGGAUAACUUCAGGAAACUGGGGCUAAUACCGGAUAGGAGCUCCUGCUGCAUGGUGGGGGUUGGAAAGUUUCGGCGGUUGGGGAUGGACUCGCGGCUUAUCAGCUUGUUGGUGGGGUAGUGGCUUACCAAGGCUUUGACGGGUAGCCGGCCUGAGAGGGUGACCGGCCACAUUGGGACAGAGGUACGGCCCAGACUCAUACGGGAGGCAGCAGUGGAAAAUAGUGCACAAUGGGCGGAAGCCUGAUGCAGCAACGCCGCGUGCGGGAUGACGGCCGUCGGAUUAUAAACCGCUUUCGCCUGUGACGAAGCGUGAGUGACGGUAAUGGGUAAAGAAGCACCGGCUAACUACGUG